CUUUAAAAGAGCUCUAAGAUGUAUCAAAAAUUGCAUGAUUUCAUAUUUUGGUAUUUGUGCUCCAAUGCUCUUAUUAUCAUAGAAGAACUUUGAAGUCAUAGAAGAAUUAAUGAUCCAACAUGAUGAUAUGUCUUUCACAUAUAUAAGUUUUGAUCUUUUACUCUGAAACUUAAUUAAAUUGCUCUCAAAAUACUUAAUAGAUUGGGCAAAAGGUCUUAAAUGAACAAGCUUUCAUACUUAUUGAAGAGGUUAGAUUUCCACUCAUGUUUUUCCUUGAAUAUCAAUGUGGUACUUCUUGAAUUAACCUAAGGAAGAUUCCACCUACACUUGAUUAGAAAACUAUCUGUGGUAUCAAAUUAGAAAACCUCUUGAAUUCACACUCGAUGUGUUCUGCUCUGAUCUUUGUGCUUAAUGUUUCACUAUCUUUUUGAUGUUGUCAAAAAGAGGGAGAAAUAUCUAAGUAUAUGCUAUAUAUACUCAUAAUGCUUUAUUACUUUGAAUUGAAUGCUUUAUUACUUUGAAUUGAAUACAAAUCAGCUUAAAAUUUAAAUAUGUUAAUUGUGUUAAGCUGAUUAAAUCUAAAGCAUUAUCAUGAAGUAUGUUUUUACAUAUAUAUGUUUUCUACUUCAUGCAACUUAGCUAUGUAUUACUUCUAGAAAUCAAUAUCUUUUAUAUUGCAUAUACUCCAAGUUUUGUCAUCAUCAAAA
rnacentral:lncRNA from 1 species